rnacentral:rRNA from 1 species
AACGAACGCUGGCGGCAUGCCUAACACAUGCAAGUCGAACGAGACCUUCGGGUCUAGUGGCGCACGGGUGCGUAACGCGUGGGAACCUGCCCUUAGGUUCGGAAUAACUCCCCGAAAGGGGUGCUAAUACCGGAUAAUGUCUUCGGACCAAAGAUUUAUCGCCUUUGGAUGGGCCCGCGUUGGAUUAGCUAGUUGGUAGGGUAAAAGCCUACCAAGGCGACGAUCCAUAGCUGGUCUGAGAGGAUGAUCAGCCACACUGGGACUGAGACACGGCCCAGACCCCUAGGGGAGGCAGCAGGGGGGAAUUUUGGAAAAUGGGCGAAAGCCUGAUCCAGCAAUGCCGGGUGAGGGAUGAAGGCCUUAGGGUUUUAAAGCUUUUUUCCCCGGGAUGAUAAUGACAGGACCGGGAAAAAAAAUCCCGGCAAACCCCGU